GGGGACUGGAUAACCUCGGGAAACUGAGGCUAAACCGCGAUAGGCCAAGAUUUCUGGAAUGGAUCAUGGCCUAAAUCUAUAUGGCCCCUGGAUUGGACUGCGGCCGAUCAGGCUGUUGGUGAGGUAAUGGCCCACCAAACCUGUAACCGGUACGGGCUCUGAGAGGAGGAGCCCGGAGAUGGGCACUUAGACAAGGGCCCAGGCCCUAUGGGGCGCACCAGGCGCGGAAACYYUGCAAUAAGCGAAAGCUUGACAGGGUUAYUCUGAGUGAUUUCCGCUAAGGAAGUCUUUUGGCACCUCUAAAAAUGGUGCAGAAUAAGGGGUGGGCAAGUCUGGUGUCAGCCGCCGCGGUAAUACCAGCACCCCGAGUGGUCGGGACGAUUAUUGGGCCUAAAGCAUCCGUAAGCCGGUCCUGCAAGUCGUCCGUUAAAUCCACCCGCUCAACGGUUGGGCCGCGGGGGAUACUACAGGGCUAGGAGGCGGGAGAGGCAAGCGGUACUCGAUGGGUAGGGGUAAAAUCCACUGAUCCAUUGAAGACCACCAGUGGCGAAGGCGGCCUGCCAGAACGCGCUCGACGGUGAGGGAUGAAAGCUGGGGGAGCAAACCGGAUUAGAUACCCGGGUAGUCCCAGCUGUAAACGAUGCAGACUCGGUGAUGGGCUGGCUUCGUGCCAACCCGGUGCCGCAGGGAAGCCGUUAAGUCUGCCGCCUGGGGAGUACGGUCGCAAGANUGAA
rnacentral:rRNA from 1 species